UUGAGCCGUACGAGAUGAAAUUCUCAUAUACGGUUCUCAGGGGGGUCCUUUGGUUUACCUAUCUCAAU
rfam:Medicago truncatula cultivar Paraggio plastid, complete genome.